rnacentral:rRNA from 1 species
UAGGGAAUCUUCCACAAUGGACGAAAGUCUGAUGGAGCAACGCCGCGUGAGUGAAGAAGGGUUUCGACUCGUAAAACUCUGUUGUUAAAGAAGAACAUAUCUGAGAGUAACUGUUCAGGUAUUGACGGUAUUUAACCAGAAAGCCACGGCUAACUACGUGCCAG